rnacentral:tRNA from 1 species
GGCUCUGUAGUUGAUUUACAACAUUAAAUUGCAAAUUUAAAAGCAUAUCUAGAAUAUUGGAGUUUUG